rnacentral:sRNA from 1 species
ACUCCGUACUGGGGAAGGAUGAGAAGCUUCGACAAGGUUCGAGUCUCACGCAGUGAGACAACGCGCUUCAGCGCGGCCCGCAGGGUGAAUAGCUCUCGUAUCAAUAAACUCAAUUUAUCUCCCU